rnacentral:rRNA from 2 species
GUCCCUAUCUGCCGUGGGCGCUGGAGAAUUGAGGGGGGCUGCUCCUAGUACGAGAGGACCGGAGUGGACGCAUCACUGGUGUUCGGGUUGUCAUGCCAAUGGCACUGCCCGGUAGCUAAAUGCGGAAAAGAUAAGUGCUGAAAGCAUCUAAGCACGAAACUUGCCCCGAGAUGAGUUCUCCCUGACCCUUUAAGGGUCCUGAAGGAACGUUGAAGACGACGACGUUGAUAGGUCGGGUGUGUAAGCGCAGCGAUGCGUUGAGCUAACCGAUACUAAUGAACCGUGAGGCUUAACCUUACAACGCCGAAGCUGUU